AAGCGUGCGCAGGCGGUUAUACAAGACAGGCGUGAAAUCCCCGGGCUUAACCUGGGAAUGGCGCCUGUGACUGUAUAGCUAGAGUGUGUCAGAGGGGGGUAGAAUUCCACGUGUAGCAGUGAAAUGCGUAGAUAUGUGGAGGAAUACCAAUGGCGAAGGCAGCCCCCUGGGAUAACACUGACGCUCAUGCACGAAAGCGUGGGGAGCAAACAGGAUUAGAUACCCCGGGU
rnacentral:rRNA from 1 species